rnacentral:rRNA from 1 species
UAAAACGGGAGGCAGCAGUGGGGAAACUUGGACAAUGGGCGCAAGCCUGAUCCAGCCAUGCCGCGUGAGUGAUGAAGGCCCUAGGGUCGUAAAGCUCUUUCGCCUGUGAUGAUAAUGACAGUAGCAGGUAAAGAAACCCCGGCUAACUCCGUGCCAGCAGCCGCGGUAAUACGGAGGGGGUUAGCGUUGUUCGGAAUUACUGGGCGUAAAGCCCGCGUAGGCGGGUUGUUAAGUUAGAGGUGAAAUCCCGGGGCUCAACCCCGGAACUGCCUUUAAUACUGGCAACCUAGAGUUCGAGAGAGGUGAGUGGAAUUCCGAGUGUAGAGGUGAAAUUCGUAGAUAUUCGGAGGAACACCAGUGGCGAAGGCGGCUCACUGGAUCGAUACUGACGCUGAGGUGCGAAAGUGUGGGGAGCAAACAGGAUUAGAUACCCUGGUAGUCCACACCGUAAACGAUGAAUGCCAGUCGUCGGGUAGCAUGCUAUUCGUUGACCCCCCAAACGGAUAAGCAUUCCGCCU